rnacentral:rRNA from 1 species
GUGGGGGAUAUUGCACAAUGGGGGAAACCCUGAUGCAGCGACGCCGCGUGGGUGAAGGAGCACUUCGGUGCGUAAAGCCCUAUCGGCAGGGAAGAAAAGGGGGAAACCCCAGACGGUACCUGACUAAGAAGCCCCGGCUAACUACGUGCC